UACGUAGGGGGCGAGCGUUGUCCGAAGUUACUGGGCGUAAAGCGUGCGCAGGCGGCGCGUUAAGACAGGUGUGAAAGCCCCGAGCUUAACUUGGGAAUUGCGCUUGUGACUGGCGUGCUGGAGUGUGGCAGAGGGAGGUGGAAUUCCACGUGUAGCAGUGAAAUGCGUAGAGAUGUGGAGGAACACCGAUGGCGAAGGCAGCCUCCUGGGCCAGCACUGACGCUCAUGCACGAAAGCGUGGGGAGCAAACAGG
rnacentral:rRNA from 1 species